AGUUCCCUGGAAAGGGGCGCCAG
rnacentral:snRNA from 1 species